rnacentral:lncRNA from 1 species
GUUGCCUUUCCGCCAUGGCCGAGCGGGGGGCCUGGCCCCGCGGGUCUGCGGGGAGCCGGCGCUCGGAUCCCUCGCUGCGCAGAGCAAACCGUGAAACCUGCGCCUGAAGAGGGCUUGCUGAAACAAUCAGUAUUUUUAUUGCGAUAGCUCGGGCUUUUGAGUGGACCAAAGUGCUUUCGAUAAGGGGAAGCGUAGAGAGUGCCUGUCGGGGAGAGUGGGGAGAGGCCUCUUGAACCCAGCGUGGCUGGGGAAAAUGGACCAACGCGUUUGACCAGGGCAGGGUCAAUUGGGUCCCAGCAUGUUCCUGCUAAGANNNNNNNNNNNGAGACUGGGAGAGCCUUGGAUUUGGGCCAGUUCUGGUUUUGAGGACUGCAGUUCUUCUGUAAAAUGUCAAGUAGUAGCUGUGGUAAUCCCAUUUGAUUUUUUUCACUUGGGUUCCUUCUGCCCAGGUUUUGUUGAGUAGUAACUCUGCCAGGUGUCUCUCAGGCAUCCUGCCCGCCCUUUCCCCAGUGCCCUGGCUCAUGCUGCGCUUCUGGCUGCUGGUGAAGCUGCUGCGCCAGUCUCCACCGGCCCUGCCACACGGCUGUGGGCAGCUCAGGGAAACGUGUUCACGAUGCUGCAGUGCACUGAGCGAAAGUCCUGCAAGGUGGUGGCGGUCCCCUUCUGAUGGAAGAAUGGUUGUGCUCAGGCAGUUUGGGCUGCUUCUCUGGAAGAAUUAUAUCCUGCAGGUAAGCUGGCACUGUGCUUGCAGCAGAGGAACUGCCUAUGUCAUCAUCCCUUAAAGGUGAUCCCUUCAGAACUUUCCCAAUGUCUAGAUUUCCUAGUGAACAUUUUCUGUAGGCCCAGGAUGGAUCUAUUUGUGUGCAUGGUAUCUUUUGUGCUUUUGUGUCAGUGAGAGAUAGACAGGGGUCUGUGCUCAAUUACCUGGUGUCCCUGUCCCCUCAAUUGCAAUUGCACAAUUUAUCAGUUCUCCUCACUUUCAAAAUAGGGCUGUGAGUUCAGUUUUCCGUUCUCAAGGAGCAGGAUAAUCCCUGCGCCCUCCUGUGCAACCAUGGGUUUCCCUGAGCUAUCUUAUUCCAUAGAUUCUUUUACAUCCUUCUCUGGAGGUGGUGAUGCUGUGCAGCGCCUAUAAACUUACCAGGAUCCAAGUGCUUUUUCUCCAUUACUUUUUGCAUUCUUCAGAAGUAACUUUUAUGGGUCUGUGGGCUGCCUUAAACCACCUUUGUCCUGGCAUCUGCUCUUAUUCCUGCUCUGCGCUUGGGAACUAGCGAGUUAUGAAGUACUUAGGGACGUU